UAAUCCACAACCAAUUUCACGUAAUUCAUGACAUAACGAGUAAGAGGAUGAAUCUCCCCAUUAAGCAUAGGCUUCUUGGAAGUCUCGCUCUGGACAGCAUUCUCAAACUCUGCAAAAGUCACUUUUGCAGCAUCUGCCAAUCCAGCCAGCACUCCCUUUGCAUCACGACACACCAACUCAUCCGUAACCAUCGACUGCAAAUCAGGCGAAACAUCUGCCAAUGCGUCAUACAUGUCCAAAAUCCUAAACAGCU
rnacentral:misc_RNA from 1 species